rnacentral:rRNA from 1 species
GACGAACGCUGGCGGCGUGCUUAACACAUGCAAGUCGAACGGUAAGGCCCUUCGGGGUACACGAGUGGCGAACGGGUGAGUAACACGUGGGUGAUCUGCCCUGCACUUCGGGAUAAGCCUGGGACACUGGGUCUAAUACCGGAUAGGACCACUGCAUGCAUGGGUGGUGGUGGAAAGCUUUUGCGGUGUGGAAUGGGCCCGCGGCCUAUCAGCGUGUUGGUGGGGUGAUGGCCUACCAAGGCGACGACGGGUAGCCGGCCAGGGAGGGUGACCGGCCACACUGGGACUGAGAUACGGACCAGACUCCUACGGGAGGCAGCAGUGGGGAAUAUUGCACAAUGGGCGCAAGCCUGAUGCAGCGACGCCGCGUGAGGGAUGACGGCCUUCGGGUUGUAAACCUCUUUCAGCACCGACGAAGCGCAAGUGACGGUAGGUGCAGAAGAAGGACCGGCCAACUACGUGCCAGCCGCCGCGGUAA